rnacentral:rRNA from 1 species
UACGAAGGGGGCGAGCGUUAUUCGGAAUCACUGGGCGUAAAGCGUGCGUAGGUUGUUCUGUAAGUUGGAAGUGAAAGCCAGGGGCUCAACCCCGGAAUUGCUUUCAAAACUACAGGACUCGAGUCCGGGAGGGGAUAGCGGAAUUUCCAGUGUAGUAGUGAAAUACGUAGAUAUUGGAAGGAACACCAGUGGCGCAAGCGGCUAUCUGGACCGGUACUGACGCUGAGGCACGAAAGCGUGGGGAGCAAACAGG